rnacentral:rRNA from 1 species
UACGUAGGGGGCGAGCGUUGUCCGGAUUUAUUGGGCGUAAAGAGCUCGUAGGCGGUUUGGCAAGUCGGGUGUGGAAACUCCGGGCUCAACUCGGAGACGCCACUCGAUACUGCUAUGACUCGAGUCCGGUAGGGGAGUGCGGAAUUCCUGGUGUAGCGGUGAAAUGCGCAGAUAUCAGGAGGAACACCGGUGGCGAAGGCGGCACUCUGGGCCGGUACUGACGCUGAGGAGCGAAAGCGUGGGGAGCGAACAGG